UACGUAGGGUGCAAGCGUUGUCCGGAAUUAUUGGGCGUAAAGAGCUCGUAGGCGGUCUGUCGCGUCGGCUGUGAAAACUCGGGGCUCAACCCCGAGCCUGCAGUCGAUACGGGCAGACUAGAGUGCUGUAGGGGGAGACUGGAAUUCCUGGUGUAGCGGUGAAAUGCGCAGAUAUCAGGAGGAACACCGGUGGCGAAGGCGGGGUCUCUGGGGCAGUAACUGACGUGAGGAGCGAAAAGCGUGGGGGAGCGAAACAGG
rnacentral:rRNA from 1 species